GUGUGUGUGUGUGUGUCAUUCAUUAUUCACGCCCCCUAUCAGGCUGAAUGGUCUAUGCAUGUAAUUACCGGUGGAUGAAAAACUAUAUUCGGUGAUAGGAUUUAUAGGAGAAGCAUGCCACGAGUGUUUGUUUGUUUGUUUGUUUUAUUGCAUUUCUGUAUAUGCGUUGUGAGACUCGUGUUCUGUUGCAUCCUUCAUAGAUAUAAAAGAAAUACAUGGUUUGAGAUGAUUUCCAUGAUUGAUAUAAGAAGUGCAAUGCUCCAUCCUUCUGUAGACUAAAGAAAUAUACGUUAAUAAAUAUCUUAAGAGGGUUUCCACAAAGCUAGUAAGAUAGUAAGAUAUAUAAAAAAAAAUACAUGGUUUGAGAUGAUUUCCAUGAUUGAUAUAAGAAGUGCAAUGCUCCAUCCUUCUGUAGUUAAAAAAAAUAUACGUUAAUAAAUAUCUUAAGAGGGUUUCCACAAAGCUAGUAAGAUAGUAAGAUAUAU